rnacentral:rRNA from 1 species
GAAUUGGGCAUGGGCGGAAGCCUGAUCCAGCAUGCCGCGUGCAGGAAAGACGGCCCUAUGGCGUUGUAAACUGCUUUUGUACGGGAAGGAAUAACUUACUUCUACGUGUAGGUUGAUGACGGUCCCGUAAGAAUAAGGACCGGCUAACUCCGUGCCAGCAGCCGCGGUAAUACGGAGGGUCCGAGCGUUAUCCGGAUUUUAUUGGGUUUAAAGGGUCCGUAGGCCGGGCUAUUAAGUCAGGGGUGAAAGCCUGCAGCUCAACUGUAAAAUUGCCUUUGAUACUGGAAGUCUUGAGUUGUAUUGAAGUGGGUGGAAUAUGUAGUGUAGCGGUGAAAUGCAUAGAUAUUACUUAGAACACCGAUUGCGAAGGCAGGUCACUAAGUACACACUGACGCUGAUGGACGAAAGCGUGGGGAGCGAACAGGAUUAGAUACCCUGGUAGUCCACGCCGUAAACGAUGGAUACUCGCUGUCCGGGACCUUGAGUUCUGGGCCGCCCAACGCAGUGAUAAGUAUCCCUCGUGGGGAGUACGUUCACGGGAAUGAUACUCAGAAUUUAUUGGCGGA